rnacentral:rRNA from 1 species
UAGGGAAUCUUCGGCAAUGGACGAAAGUCUGACCGAGCAACGCCGCGUGAGUGAAGAAGGUUUUCGGAUCGUAAAACUCUGUUGGUAGAGAAGAACGUUGGUGAGAGUGGAAAGCUCAUCAAGUGACGGUAACUACCCAGAAAGGGACGGCCAACUACGUGCCAC